ensembl:snRNA U6 U6 spliceosomal RNA
GUGCUCCUUCGGCAACACAUAUACUAAAACUGGAACGAUACAGAGAAGAUUAGCAUGUCCCCUGCGCAAGGAUAAUACGCAAACUCGUGAAGCCGUCCAUAUUUUU